GAUGAAGAACGCAGCGAAAUGCGAUAAGUAAUGUGAAUUGCAGAAUUCAGUGAAUCAUCUAAUCUUUGAACGCACAUUGCGCCCGCCAGUAUUCUGGCGGGCAUGCCUGUUCGAGCGUCAUUACAACCCUCAGGCCCCCGGGCCUGGCGUUGGGGAUCGGCGGAGCCCCCCGUGGGCACACGCCGUCCCCCAAAUGCAGUGGCGGUCCCGCCGCAGCUUCCAUCGCGUAGUAGCUAACACCUCGCGACUGGAGAGCGGCGCGGCCACGCCGUAAAACACCCAACUCUUCUGAAGUUGACCUCGAAUCAGGUAGGAAUACCCGCUGAACUUAAGCAUAUCAAUAAGCGGAGGA
rnacentral:misc_RNA from 1 species